CUUUCGCCGUGCCCGCGGCAAUCGACGCUUCGCACCAUGGUUCGCACUUCGCGGUCGCAGUUAAUUUGUAUUGUUCCUGCCUAGUCGUGCGACGUUCUACUCGCACAGUUCAUAGGCCUUCUAGUUCCACGUCGUAGACACCAGCUUUACGACACACCCCGACUCCGAGACAAGACUGGCCGAAGGGCGACACUUUCACAUCGCAAGGGGUCUGUGGCUGAAGGCGACAUGGCAAAGGGAGGAGAGGAGGAACCUCCUGUACAAGUAGCAUGCCCCCUACCACCAAAUGUGCAGCAUCCACCAGGUGCCAUGCCAGUCCGGAGAACUAGGGCCAGGUCUGGAGCCGAUACGGCACGGGAUCUGCUGUCCAUUCGGCAGGACCAGCUGGCUGUCCAGCGAGAACUGCUGGCCACACAGCAGGGUUUGCUGGCCACCCAGCAGCAGCAGCUGGCAGUUCAGCAGGAAAUGCUGCUCGUGCAGAGAGAGGCAGUCGAUGCACUCCGUCGACUUGCAAGCGAGCACCUAAAAUGCCAGUAACUCAGCUCAGCAACAUGACUGCACAGAGCUUACCAAGGCUGUAGAGGGACAAGCAGCAGCAAGUGCACACCAGUCGUCCGCACUGACUUCGCUAGUGCUCCAGCUCGUCGGUGUGCAGAAUCUCCAUCCGCCAGCCGAAUAAACGGCCAUUUUGUAAACUGUGGCUAGACCGAACAACGUCUGUGCCUCGAUGGGCUUCUCAAGCGUGGCGCUGCUCCCCAUUCUGGCUCGCUGUGGCUCGCGUGUGGUGUCCGCGUUUCAAGACCAACUUUCCUUAACUGGUUAGGUUACAUGUUGAGACCUCAUGGCGGUUGCAUGGAACAAGAAGAAAAGGAAUGGCGCGGCGUGCGCGGGAAGUCCACCGGAAGACGCUGGCCCCCUGGUGGCGAAAUACACAUAUGCAGCAGUUUCGCUUCUUGGAUACUUGCAUUGAAGCAUAUGGGCAAUCAGAAGAAGAAGUUGUCGAGUUCUGUGCGCAUAUGUUAGGUGUACAGCUUGGCCCCUCUAAUCUGGAGAAAUCGCACCAACUAGGGAAAUUCCAGCCCGAGAAAACUAGGCCGAUCAUCGUUAAGUUUGCCCAUUUCUAAGACGGAGAAAGCAUUUUGGCCUCCGGUUUCAAAUUGAAAGACGCCCCUUAUUCCCUAUGCAAGGAUUCUUCUGCGUUUGUAUGACUUGCUCGUAGCAAACCUUUUGAGUACAGAAAAAGUAUGAAUGUACAAUUUAAGGUUCGUUUCAACAAACUUAAUGUUGGCUACAAACGUUUCGUCAUUGACCCGGUGUCUCAAACUGUAGUUGACGUGUCAUAGCUACAUGCUUGUAAUAAAAAUAAACUAUUGCCUCC